GAGGAAGAGGAAGAGGGAAACAAAUCGAAUAGUGAGAACUAGCUCAUGAAUCAAGCGGCGAAGGCAUGGUGGUCCAUCAGGUCGGGGCUGAGGCGGACCAUGAGGACGCAGAACUCCCACUGGCUGAGCGCGCCAUCGCCGUCGGAGUCGCCCUCGCGCAGCAUGGCGCGGAGGUCGUCGUCCCCCAGGGCGCCCAGGCCCAGCAGCGCGGCGUUGCGCUUGAGGCUGUCGAAGGUGAUGAGCCCCCGGCGAGGGUCCAUGAGUAGGCGAAAGCCGUUGGAGAGCUCCUCCAUGAGGCCUUCCUCGCCCAGCUUCUCCACCAUGAGGGGGAGGAAGUCCUCGAACUCCACUGGUUGCCGCCGCGCCGCCAUGGGAGAUGGAUUCAAUCGAUCGAUCGAAAGCACACCGAAGGGCAGAGAAGAAGAGGAAGACGAGGUGGGGGUC
rnacentral:lncRNA from 1 species